GAAGGAUAACGUUGCGUCAGCAACGGCCCGUAGGGCAAGGCGAAGCCGAGUCAUCCUGCACGACCCACCA
rnacentral:sRNA from 1 species